rnacentral:rRNA from 1 species
CAGCCGCCGCGGUAAUACGUAGGGUGCGAGCGUUAAUCGGAAUUACUGGGCGUAAAGCGUGCGCAGGCGGAUUGUUAAGCAAGACGUGAAAUCCCCGGGCUUAACCUGGGAAUGGCGUUUUGAACUGGCAGUCUAGAGUGCGUCAGAGGGGGGUGGAAUUCCACGUGUAGCAGUGAAAUGCGUAGAGAUGUGGAGGAACACCGAUGGCGAAGGCAGCCCCCUGGGAUGACACUGACGCUCAUGUACGAAAGCGUGGGUAGCAAACAGGAUUAGAUACCCUGGUAGUCCACGCCCUAAACGAUGUCAACUGGUUGUUGGGGGAGUGAAAUCCCUUAGUAACGAAGCUAACGCGUGAAGUUGACCGCCUGGGGAGUACGGUCGCAAGAUUAAAACUCAAAGGAAUUGACGGGGACCCGCACAAGCGGUGGAUGAUGUGGAUUAAUUCGAUGCAACGCGAAAAACCUUACCUACCCUUGACAUGUCCGGAAUCCUGCAGAGAUGCGGGAGUGCCUGAAAGGGAAUCGGAACACAGGUGCUGCAUGGCUGUCGUCAGCUCGUGUCGUGAGAUGUUGGGUUAAGUCCCGCAACGAGCGCAACCCUUAUCAUUAGUUGCUACGCAAGGGCACUCUAAUGAGACUGCCGGUGACAAACCGGAGGAAGGUGGGGAUGACGUCAAGUCCUCAUGGCCCUUAUGGGUAGGGCUUCACACGUCAUACAAUGGUCGGUACAGAGGGUUGCCAAGCCGCGAGGUGGAGCCAAUCCCAGAAAGCCGAUCGUAGUCCGGAUUGUUCUCUGCAACUCGAGAGCAUGAAGUCGGAAUCGCUAGUAAUCGCGGAUCAGCAUGUCGCGGUGAAUACGUUCCCGGGUCUUGUACACACCGCCCGU